AUUACAGUAUGAUAUGGUGGACAAAAAGCCCUCAAUGCAGCCAGUUCUGGAGCUUUGGUUAGACUAUGAACAGUAGACAUCAAAAGAUGAUCAUCUGAAGGGCCACAAUUGUUUAAAGCACUGGUCAACAAAAACUGAACUAUUUGAUGGAUCGUACAUGUGCAGAAUGUACUACCAUAUUUCCAGAAUCAGAGAAAUAGAAAUAUCAAGUAUUAGAGAGAAA
rnacentral:lncRNA from 1 species